ACAUGCAAGUCGAACGGUCUUUUCGGAGAUAGUGGCGGACGGGUGAGUAACGCGUAAGAAUCUACCUUCAGGUUGGGGACAACCACUGGAAACGGUGGCUAAUACCCAAUGUGCCGAGAGGUGAAAGGCUUGCUGCCUGAAGAAGAGCUUGCGUCUGAUUAGCUAGUUGGUGGGGUAAGAGCCUACCAAGGCGACGAUCAGUAGCUGGUCUGAGAGGAUGAUCAGCCACACUGGGACUGAGACACGGCCCAGACUCCUACGGGAGGCAGCAGUGGGGAAUUUUCCGCAAUGGGCGAAAGCUUGACGGAGCAAUACCGCGUGAGGGAGGAAGGCUCUUGGGUUGUAAACCCUUUUUCUCAGGGAAGAAAAAAUUGACGUUACCUGAGGAAUAAGCAUCGGCUAACUCCGUGCCAGCGGCCG
rnacentral:rRNA from 1 species